AGGCUAGGGGGUCAUGGCGACUUACCAAACCUUAGCAAACUCCGAAUACCGCAGAGUACAGCUUGGGAGACAGAGCACCGGGUGCUAACGUCCGGACUCAAGAGGGAAACAACCCAGACCGCCAGCUAAGGUCCCUAAAAUUGGCUAAGUGGGAAACGAAGUGGGAAGGCUAAAACAGUCAGGAUGUUGGCUUAGAAGCAGCCAUCAUUUAAAGAAAGCGUAAUAGCUCACUGAUCGAGUCGUCCUGCGCGGAAGAUGUAACGGGGCUAAGCCAGUUACCGAAGCUGCGGAUGCAUCGCAAGAUGCGUGGUAGGAGAGCGUUCUGUAAGCCUGUGAAGGUGGGUUGUGAAGCCUGCUGGAGGUAUCAGAAGUGCGAAUGCUGACAUGAGUAGCGUUAAAGGGGGUGAAAAGCCCCCUCGCCGAAAGCGCAAGGUUUCCUACGCAACGUUCAUCGGCGUAGGGUGAGUCGGCCCCUAAGGCGAGGCAGAGAUGCGUAGCUGAUGGGAAACAGGUCAAUAUUCCUGUACCGAUCAAUAGUGCGAUGUGGGGACGGAGAAGGUUAGCUCAGCCGGGUGUUGGAUGUCCCGGUUCAAGCCUGUAGUCGUGCCUGGUAGGCAAAUCCGCCGGGCUUAGAUGAGGGGUGAUAACGAGGAGGCUUGCCUCCGAAGUGAGUGAUACCCUGCUUCCAGGAAAAGCCACUAAGCUUCAGCUAUUGACGACCGUACCGCAAACCGACACUGGUGCGCGAGAUGAGUAUUCUAAGGCGCUUGAGAGAACUCUGGAGAAGGAACUCGGCAAAUUGACACCGUAACUUCGGAAGAAGGUGUGCCU
rnacentral:rRNA from 1 species